rnacentral:miRNA from 1 species
GACAGAAGAUAGACUUUGGUC